GAACCGUCCAAACGUUAUUCGGAAUCACUGGGCUUAAAGGGUGCGUAGGCGGCCCGGCAAGUUGGGUGUGAAAUCCCUCGGCUCAACCGAGGAAUUGCGCCCAAAACUGCCGGACUUGAGGGAGACAGAGGUGAGUGGAACUAUGGGUGGAGCGGUGAAAUGCGUUGAUAUCCGUAGGAACACCGGUGGCGAAAGCGGCUCACUGGGUCUCUUCUGACGCUGAGGCACGAAAGCUAGGGGAGCGAACGGGAUUAGAUACCCCGGGGUAGUCCUAGCUGUAAACGAUGAGCACUAGAUCGUAGAGAUCUCCAUGUCUUUACCGGUCGAACUGAAAAGGUUAAGUGCUCCGCCUGGGGGAGUAUGGCCGCAAGGCUG
rnacentral:rRNA from 1 species